CACUCCUACGGGAGGCAGCAGUGGGGAAUAUUGCACAAUGGGCGCAAGCCUGAUGCAGCCAUGCCGCGUGUAUGAAGAAGGCCUUCGGGUUGUAAAGUACUUUCAGCGGGGAGGAAGGCAAUACGGUUAAUAACCGUGUUGAUUGACGUUACCCGCAGAAGAAGCACCGGCUAACUCCGUGCCAGCAGCCGCGGUAAUACGGAGGGUGCAAGCGUUAAUCGGAAUUACUGGGCGUAAAGCGCACGCAGGCGGUCUGUCAAGUCGGAUGUGAAAUCCCCGGGCUCAACCUGGGAACUGCAUUCGAAACUGGCAGGCUUGAGUCUUGUAGAGGGGGGUAGAAUUCCAGGUGUAGCGGUGAAAUGCGUAGAGAUCUGGAGGAAUACCGGUGGCGAAGGCGGCCCCCUGGACAAAGACUGACGCUCAGGUGCGAAAGCGUGGGGAGCAAACAGGAUUAGAAACCCCUGUAGUCCCAUGA
rnacentral:rRNA from 1 species